rnacentral:rRNA from 1 species
AUUGAACGCUGGCGGCAUGCCUUACACAUGCAAGUCGAACGGCAGCACGGGUGCUUGCACCUGGUGGCGAGUGGCGAACGGGUGAGUAAUAUAUCGGAACGUACCUUAUCGUGGGGGAUAACGCAGCGAAAGUUGCGCUAAUACCGCAUACGCCCUGAGGGGGAAAGCGGGGGACCGUAAGGCCUCGCGCGAUUAGAGCGGCCGAUGUCUGAUUAGCUUGUUGGUGAGGUAAAAGCUCACCAAGGCGAUGAUCAGUAGCUGGUCGGAGAGGACAAUAAGCGACACUGGGAAUGCAACACGGCCCAGACUCCUACGGGAGGGAGCAGUGGGGAAUUUUGGACAAUGGGGGCAACCCUGAUCCAGCAAUGCCGCGUGAGUGAAGAAGGCCUUCGGGUUGUAAAGCUCUUUUGUCAGGGAAGAAACAGCAGCUCUAACACAGUCUGCGAAUGACGGUACCUGAAGAAUAAGCACCGGCUAACUACGUGCCAGCCGCCGCCGUAA